UCUACCCAUAGCUUAUGGUUAAAUGCCAUAGAAUCUUAUAGAUUUAGAUAUAUAUCGGUUAUGGAUGAGCUUGCGGGGUAUUAGGUAGUUGGUGUGGUAAUGGCGCACCAAGCCCAAGAUGCCUAGCCGGUUUGAGAGAACGAUCGGCCACACUGGGACUGAGACACGGCCCAGACGCUUACGAGCGGCAGCAGUGGGGAAUAUUGGACAAUGGGCGAAAGCCUGAUCCAGUGAUAUCGCUUUGGGGAUGACGGCGACAUACGUUGUAAACCCAAUGAAGUACGUUUAGAUUAUGACCGUACGUAUUUUAGAAGUCCCUG
rnacentral:rRNA from 1 species